CCGUAUCACAUUGAAGCACCAAUUCUCAUCUGUUCACCAAAGUUAAGCAACAUUGAGCCUGAUCAGUACCUAGAUGGGUAACCACUUGGGAAUACCAGGUGCU